GAGGAACAGGGUUAGCUGUAACCAGAAGCCUCAGGAGAGAAACCUCUGCUCCUGAGGAGCAGACCUACAGCACAGGGUGCCUGGAUUGGAAGCUGGAAUAGCAGAAGGGUCCAGAUUCCAUUGCUAGUCUCUGGUAGAGUGGAAUAGAGCCUGAGGAAGGGCUGAACCAGUCUGGCAACAGCAUUUGGACAGUUGUCCUGUUGGACUUCAUAACCUUGGAAGGAGUGGACCAGCCUGGAGAGUCAAGUUGCCAGAAGAGGGGGUGUUGCACAGCAAGCAGCAAUGGGCUACCUGAUGCAGGAAGAGCUAUGCUGCCUGACAUGGAUGCAAAGAGAUGCUUUGGGAGUGGCUGUUUGUCCACAACUCCUGUAUUCACGUGUGCUCCAAAAAACAAACUCUCUCAUGCACCACCAAAAAUGUUCAUCGUUGAAUACAAUUGCUGCGUGCCAGUUUCUACCAGCUGGAGCGUUGGCCCAAAGGCUAACAUGUGCAAAUCCCCCAGCUGAUGAAUGCAUAGUAUGGAGGAAUAACAACAACACGACGUGCAAACUCAGAAUGGGUUCAAGUAUAAUGAAGAACAGGAGAAAAAUAGCUCCAUUUGUGACAUGAUUUAUUUGCAGUGAAAAACCUGCCCAAUUCCAACAUCAAUCAGUGUGGCAUGGGCUACAGCGAGGAUCCGUCCAUAGCAAGACUUCUGACUUUCCUCAGAAUAUGAUAGUCCAUUAUGAUGUUAUAGCUGUUAAUCCAAAGAGUCCAAUAUCUGACUUCCUGUGAUGGCCCAGCACCGGUUUCUUUGAAGUGUCUGUAAUGCUGCAUGUGGGGAGGGGCAAAUUCCUCUCCCUGACCCUUUGCUGAUUAAAAAUAUGCUCUGAAGCAUGAUAUGACAACCACUGUUAGCAUGUAUAAUUCCAACUGUAUCAUCUAUUAUCCUUUUGAUUUUUUUUUUUAUUUUUCUGGUUUUUCCCCCUCGACAGCUAUCCACCUUCCUUAUUUGUUCAGAAAGCUCCCCCAGUGUUUGAGCCCCUCACUUCUGCUUUUCCUUCUGCUGUGGAUUGGCAAUUCACUUUUUUCUGCAAAAUAAAUGGCAUACAUCCCGACUUCUGAACCAGUAAAACAGAAUAAUUAGAGCAAAGCACAAGUAAUUUUUGAGUCAAGGCCUUGGAUUGUCAUGGUUGUAAACUUUAACUUGCCAGCAGGCUCCUGGCCUGAUAUCAAUUACGUACAGUAAAUGAAGGAAACUCUCCCAUAUUUCUAGGCAGUUAUGGAAAUUACCAUGCCCUCCUUUUGAACAUCACAUAUACUCUCUGAUCUUGUCUGUAUUGUGGAUCGUUCAUCCUGUAGUUGCUUGGAAUGUUUUUGUU